UGCAUUCUGUGAACUUAAUUCUGUUCAAUGUGUCUCCUCUGUCUUCUCAGGCCCAGGAGGAUCUUACAGCCAGGGAGACCUGCAAGGCUGGAUUCUCAGAAGAAGGUUACACGGCAUUAAUCUCCCCAGAUAUUCUGCAAGGAGAGAGGCUGCUCAAAGGUCCCCAGCGCUGGCUUUCCACGGGGUGCAAGUGGUUAACAGAAAACAAAGGGACGUCAGGUGGAGGUGGUCUGCGGAUGGGGCGUGAACCUGGCUGGCCAGGCUGCUCUGAGCUGGCUCUGGCACUCAGGACACCCUGCGUGGGAGGACAGCCCUUCUCCCCCCCUUGGACACGUGGCUCAGGAAGUGAAGCACGUCUGACCAAGAG
rnacentral:lncRNA from 1 species